rnacentral:rRNA from 1 species
UACGGGGGGAGCAAGCGUUGUUCGGAUUUACUGGGCGUAAAGGGCGCGUAGGCGGUCGUGACAAGUCACUUGUGAAAUCUCCGGGCUUAACUCGGAAAGGUCAAGUGAUACUGUCGGACUAGAGUGCAGAAGGGGCAACUGGAAUUCUCGGUGUAGCGGUGAAAUUCGUAGAUAUCGGGAGGAACACCGGUGGCGAAGGCGGCAC